CCUAUCAGGUAGUUGGCGGGGUAACGGCCCACCAAGCCGAAGACGGGUAGCGGGUGUGAGAGCACGACCCGCCGCAUCGGGACUGAGACACUGCCCGGACUCCUACGGGAGGCUGCAGUAACGAAUCUUCCGCAAUGGGCGAAAGCCUGACGGAGCAAUGCCGCGUGUGGGAUGAAGCGUCUACGACGUGUAAACCACUGUCAGGGUCUAGGAACAAUGACCAGACCCAGAGGAAGGGCCGGCUAACUCUGUGCCAGCAGCCGCGGUAAUACAGAGGGCCCGAGCGUUAAUCGGAAUCACUGGGCUUAAAGCGUACGCAGGCGGCCCUGAAGGCGUCGUGUGAAAUCCCUCGGCUCAACCGGGGAACUGCACGGCGAACCACAGGGCUUGAGGCAGGUAGGGGUCAGUGGAACCAUGAGUGGAGCGGUGAAAUGCGUAGAUAUUCAUGGGAACGCCAAUGGCGAAGGCAGCUGACUGGGCCUGUUCUGACGCUCAUGUACGAAAGCGUGGGGAGCAAACAGGAUUAGAUACCCUGGUAGUCCACGCCGUAAACGAUGCACACUAGAUCGGGGGAGCUCUCACGCUCUCCCGGUCGAAGGUAAACUGAUUAGUGUGCCGCCUGGGGAGUACGGUCGCAAGGCUAAAACUCAAAGGAAUUGACGGGGGCUCAUACAAGCGGUGGAGCAUGUUGCUUAAUUCGAGGCAACGCGAAGAACCUUACCUAGGCUUGACAUGCACGGAUUAACCUUUCGAAAGAUAGGCCACGCCCUUUGGGUGGAACGUGCACAGGUGCUGCAUGGCUGUCGUCAGCUCGUGCUGUGAAGUGUCGGGUUAAGUCCCUUAACGAGCGCAACCCCUAUCGUUAGUUACUAACGCGUCAUGGCGAGGACUCUAACGAGACUGCCGGUGUCAAACCGGAGGAAGGCGGGGAUGACGUCAAGUCCUCAUGGCCCUUACGCCUAGGGUUGCAAACGUGCUACAAUGGUGCGGACAGAGCGACGCGAGGCCGCAAGGCGGAGCAAAUCGCAAAAACCGUACCCCAGUUCGGAUUGUGGGCUGAAAUUCGCCCACAUGAAGCCGGAAUCGCUAGUAAUCGGAGAUCAGCUACGCUCCGGUGAAUACGUUCCUGAGCCUU
rnacentral:rRNA from 1 species